rnacentral:tRNA from 1 species
GGACAGAUGGCCGAGUGGACGAAGGCGCGCCCCUGCUAAGGGCGUAUAUGGUCUAAAGCCGUAUCGAGGGUUCGAAUCCCUCUCUGUCCGCCA